CGAGAACGACGUGGACGACUGCUUCAGAGGUCUGUUUGGACAGCUGGCAGGAGGGGACUGUGAGAUCUCCGUGUUCGAGCUGCAGAAGAUCCUGAACAGAGUGGUGACCAAACGCUCUGACAUCCAGACCAGCGGGUUCAGCAUCGCAACGUGCCGCAACAUGAUCAACCUCCUGGACAAAGAUGGCACCGGGAAGCUGGGGCUGGUCGAGUUUAAGGUGCUGUGGACCAAGAUCGAGAACUACCUGUCAGUGAAAUGGUGCUUCAGCUUCAGCAGCAGUUGGCUCUCAAGGUUCUUGCUGUGAAGCUGUGACCGUUUGGCAGUGAACAGGAGUCCUGCAUGACUAAAAAGUCUCUCACAGGCUGCAGAUGCAGGAAGAGCUGUAUUGACUUUGAUCGACAGCUUCUUGAUCUGAGGAAAGCCAUGCAAUACAUCCACACCUCCAGUGAAUGGACAUUGGACAGUGAAAGGUAUCUCUCCAGCUCCUCUGCUUCUGG
ensembl:lncRNA